rnacentral:rRNA from 1 species
UACGUAGGGGGCAAGCGUUGUCCGGAUUUAUUGGGCGUAAAGAGCGUGUAGGCGGCGCAACAAGUCACUUGUGAAAUCUCCGGGCUUAACCCGGAGCGGUCAAGUGAUACUGUCGUGCUAGAGUGCGGAAGGGGCUACUGGAAGUUCUCGGUGGUAGCGGUGAAAUGCGUAGAUAUCGAGAGGAACACCUGGCGGCGAAGGCGGGUAGCUGGGCCGACACUGACGGCUGAUGCGCGAAAGCCAGGGGAGCGAACGGG